rnacentral:tRNA from 1 species
GCCUGGGUGGCUCAGUUGGUUAAGUGUCUGACUUUGGCUCAGGUCAUGAUCUCAUGGUUCGUGAGUUUGAGCCCCACAUCAGGCU